rnacentral:rRNA from 1 species
GUUACCAGCACGUAUGGUGGGCGACUCUAAGGAGACUGCCGGUGACAAACCGGAGGAAGGUGGGGAUGACGUCAAGUCAUCAUGGCCCUUACGGCCUGGGCUACACACGUGCUACAAUGGUCGGUACAAAGGGUUGCCAAGCCGCGAGGUGGAGCUAAUCCCAUAAAACCGAUCGUAGUCCGGAUCGCAGUCUGCAACUCGACUGCGUGAAGUCGGAAUCGCUAGUAAUCGUGAAUCAGAAUGUCACGGUGAAUACGUUCCCGGGCCUU